rnacentral:rRNA from 1 species
CAGUAGCCGCGGGAAUACGUAGGUCCCGAGCGUUGUCCGGAUUUAUUGGGCGUAAAGCGAGCGCAGGCGGUUAGAUAAGUCUGAAGUUAAAGGCUGUGGCUUAACCAUAGUACGCUCUGGAAACUGUUUAACUUGAGUGCAAGAGGGGAGAGUGGAAUUCCAUGUGUAGCGGUGAAAUGCGUAGAUAUAUGGAGGAACACCGGUGGCGAAAGCGGCUCUCUGGCUUGUAACUGACGCUGAGGCUCGAAAGCGUGGGGAGCAAACAGGAUUAGAUACCCCAGUAGUCCCUGUCUCUUAUACA